UAUCUAGUGGCGAACGGCGGAGUAAUACGUGAACAACGUGCCUUAAAGACUGGGAUAGCCAGGGGAAACCCUGAGUAAUACCGGAUGUGGCAACGAGAUGGCAUCUUCUCGUUACUAAAUGGUUUUUCGCUUUAAGAGCGGUUCACGGCCUAUCAGCUAGUUGGCGAGGUAACGGCUCACCAAGGCGACGACGGGUAGGGGGUCUGAGAGGAUGAUCCCCCCGAGUGGGACUGAGACACGGCCCACACACCUACGGGUGGCAGCAGUUGGGAAUCUUGCACAAUGGGGGAAACCCUGAUGCAGCGACGCCGCGUGGAGGACGAAGGGUCUAGGCUCGUAAACUCCUUUUUUCGGGAAAGACUUAGGACGGUACCCGAAGAAUAAGCACCGGCUAACUACGUGCCAGCAGCCGCGGUAAGACGUAGGGUGCAAGCGUUGUCCGGAUUUACUGGGCGUAAAGAGCGCGUAGGCGGCUCGUUAAGUGAGAAGUUAAAGCUGUGGGCUCAACCCACAAACCGCUUUUCAUACUGGCGAGCUGGAGUGAUGCAGAGGUGGAUAGAAUUCCCGGUGUAGCGGUGAAAUGCGUUGAUAUCGGGAGGAAUACCCGUGGCGAAGGCGGUCCACUGGGCAUCAACUGACGCUGAGGCGCGAAAGCGUGGGUAGCAAACAGGAUUAGAUACCCUGGUAGUCCACGCCCUAAACGAUGGAUGCUAGGCGUAGGAGGUAUCGACCCCUCCUGUGCCGCAGCUAACGCACUAAGCAUCCCGCCUGGGGACUACGGCCGCAAGGUUGAAACUCAAAUGAAUUGAC
rnacentral:rRNA from 1 species